rnacentral:tRNA from 1 species
CGCGUUAGUAAGCUAGCUUUGUAAGCUAAGCAAGCCUGGUUCUCCGGGCACUAGGGUAGGACGUGGAUCGACCAUGACGAGAAUGGACUUCUCCAUAAUGUAAUAGAAGAGUCACAGUCCAGUUCCACGGGCUUUCUCCCUUCUCGACCAGACGAAGGAGAUAUGAAUUCCAUUCAGGCGGGUAAGGGCUUGGCUUGACCCUGUGUUCUCGGGUCGGAGGCGAAAACUGGCAAAGUUCAUCAUUCAGUGGUGGGGUGUUCGUAGAAAAGAAGGCGUCGCCCAACGAGUGGCAGAUUUUGAUGGAGUCUCGCUUGGAUGCUGGGGAGAUCCAUAGAUCUGGAUAGAGUCCCCGGAAUAGUACGCGCGCUAGCGCGCUACGGCUUACGCAGUUGAUCGGAUCAGAUAGCCCUUCGGGCAACCAACCAAACCCGGCACAUCAAAUUCCAUUCCGAUCAACAACUUGAAGGUAUGGCUGAGUGGCUUAAGGCAUUGGUUUGCUAAAUCGACAUACAAGAAGAUUGUAUCAUGGGUUCAAAUCCCAUUUCCUCCGGAACAGAAGUGAAACGGGCGGGCGAAAUGACGUGAGAGAAAGAACCUCUUGGUGGAGUCCAGCCCCCCAGAAUAGCACUACUUAGUGACUAGGAGCGGAGAGACCUUUGCGCGUUCUUUUUGUUUGAUCGGCCUAUCUUCUUUCUAUAAGCAAGCUCCCUCCGGCUGUCCAGGGGCUGGGCGGCUCUCGGUUCUUGAGGGGGAUUAGGCGGCAGUUGAAAGAGCUGCUCGAAAGCUUGACGAAGAAGCGAAAAAGGCCUAUAUAUAGAUUCUAUUCUUUCUUAUUAUUCAUUAUUAUUCUAUUUUUAGUACAAGGGCUUUUUACUAGUCAAGUGGUAAGGUAGGGCGCUAUUCGAUGAAGAAAACAUCUUUUAGGAAAGUGGUUCAGGUAGCUCAGCUGGUUAGAGCAAAGGACUGAAAAUCCUUGUGUCAGUGGUUCGAAUCCACUUCUAAGCGGGCCAAGGGUCCAAAGGCCGGA